rnacentral:rRNA from 1 species
AUUGAACGCUGGCGGCAGGCCUAACACAUGCAAGUCGAACGUGUGGCGGACGGGUGAAUAAUGUCUGGGAAACGGCCCGAUGGAGGGGGAUAACUACAGGAAACGGUAGUUAAUACCGCUUACCAGCGGAAGUGCCCAGAUGUGAUUAGCGUGGGGGUGGGGUAACGGCUCACAUAGGCGACGAUCCCUAGCUGGUCUGAGAGGAUGACGAGCCACACUGGAGAUGAGACACUGUCCAGAAUCCUACGUGAGGCAGCAGUGGGGAAUAUUGCACAAUGGGCGCAAGCCUAUAUCGGCCAUGGGGCGUGUCCGUAGAAGGCCUUCGGGGUGUAAAGUACUUUCAGCGAGGAGGCGUUACCCGCAGAAGAAGCACCGGCUAACUCCGUGCCAGCAGCCGCGGUAAUUC